rnacentral:tRNA from 1 species
UAUAUAUAAAUGAUUUUUCAUAUAAAAUUUUGAUUUUUAUUUAAUAAGAUAAAUUCUUAUAUAUAUAU